rnacentral:lncRNA from 1 species
CGUUUCACUACGUCGGCUCUUCUCCCAGAAAGAUUUCGGUGUGGGAAUUUCAAUUUGACAUUGCAUGCGGAGGAAUGCAACGGAAUGUUUUUCUAGUUUUUAGGACUUCUAAAGAACCUUUAUGGUCAUCCUGGGAACUUUUAGGCGGAGCACACGACAGGAGCUCUAGAGGCACUACUGAAAGAGCUGAAGACUUUCAAGUAACAGUCAGAUGAAGACUGAUUUUCUUUGGAAAUUUAUCACGAACCUUGAAACAGCAUAACAAAUACAUUAUACAUUCACCUAACAUGGACCUGAAAUGGGCACUACUUUUGGGUCUCUUUCUACCGUCAUGCAGUGGGUGUGCCAUUGGAUAUACAUUUGUUAAAAGGAAAUGUGUUGAUGAGGAUGAGUGUGCUGUUUAUCUGAUUGUGUGCGGCGAUCACGCUCGGUGUGUGAAUACAGAGGGAAGUUACCACUGCGCCUGUAAUGAAGGAUUCAAAACGAGCUUAACCGGAUCGUGUAAAGGUGCGAGAGAGGAUUGUGGGAUUGAGGAGUUACAUGUAUAUAAAAUCUUUAAUUUA